GACGAACGCUGGCGGCGUGCUUAACACAUGCAAGUCGAACGGUAAGGCCCUUCGGGGUACACGAGUGGCGAACGGGUGAGUAACACGUGGGUGAUCUGCCCUGCACUUCGGGAUAAGCCUGGGAAACUGGGUCUAAUACCGGACAGGACCACGGCCUGCAUGGGUGGUGGUGGAAAGCUUUUGCGGUGUGGGAUGGGCCCGCGGCCUAUCAGCUUGUUGGUGGGGUGAUGGCCUACCAGGGCGACGACGGGUAGCCGGCCUGAGAGGGGGACCGGCCACACUGGGACUGAGAUACGGCCCAGACUCCUACGGGAGGCAGCAGUGGGGAAUAUUGCACAAUGGGCGCAAGCCUGAUGCAGCGACGCCGCGUGAGGGAUGACGGCCUUCGGGUUGUAAACCUCUUUCAGCACCGACGAAGCGCAAGUGACGGUAGGUGCAGAAGAAGGACCGGCCAACUACGUGCCAGCCGCCGCGGUAA
rnacentral:rRNA from 1 species